GACGAACGCUGGCGGCGUGCUUAACACAUGCAAGUCGAACGGAAAGGCCCUGCUUUUGUGGGGUGCUCGAGUGGCGAACGGGUGAGUAACACGUGAGUAACCUGCCCUUGACUUUGUGAUAACUUCAGGAAACUGGGGCUAAUACCGGAUAGGAGCUCCUGCUGCAUGGUGGGGGUUGGAAAGUUUCGGCGGUUGGGGAUGGACUCGCGGCUUAUCAGCUUGUUGGUGGGGUAGUGGCUUACCAAGGCUUUGACGGGUAGCCGGCCUGAGAGGGUGACCGGCCACAUUGGGACUGAGAUACGGCGCAGACUCCUACGGGAGGCAGCAGUGGGGAAUAUUGCACAAUAGGCGGAAGCCUGAUGCAGCAACGCCGGGUGCGGGAUGACGGCCUUCGGGUUGUAAACCACUUUCGCCGGAGACGAAGCGGGAGUGACGGUAAUGGGUAAAGAAGCACCGGCUAACUACGUG
rnacentral:rRNA from 1 species